rnacentral:rRNA from 1 species
UACGUAGGGUGCGAGCGUUGUCCGGAUUUAUUGGGCGUAAAGAGCUCGUAGGCGGCUCGUUGCGUCGGCUGUGAAAACCCGCAGCUCAACUGUGGCUUGCAGCCGAUACGGGCGGGCUAGAGUUCGGUAGGGGGAGACUGGAAUUCCUGGUGUAGCGGUGAAAUGCGCAGAUAUCAGGAGGAACACCGGUGGCGAAGGCGGGUCUCUGGGCCGAUACUGACGCUGAGGAGCGAAAGCGUGGGGAGCGAACAGG